rnacentral:rRNA from 1 species
UACGAAGGGGCUAGCGUUGCUCGGAAUUACUGGGCAUAAAGGGAGCGUAGGCGGACAGUUAAGUCAGUGGUGAAAGCCCCAGGGCUCAACCCUGGAAUUGCCUUUGAUACUGAUUGUCUUGAGUAUGGGAGAGGGUAUGCGGAACUCCGAGUGUAGAGGUGAAAUUCGUAGAUAUUCGGAAGAACACCAGUGGCGAAGGCGGCAUACUGGCCCAUUACUGACGCUGAGGCUCGAAAGCGUGGGAGCAACAG